rnacentral:rRNA from 1 species
UACGUAGGUGACAAGCGUUGUCCGGAUUUACUGGGCGUAAAGAGCGCGCAGGCGGUCGUUCAAGUCGAGUGUGAAAGCCCCCGGCUCAACUGGGGAGGGUCACUCGAUACUGAUCGACUUGAAGGCAGGAGAGGGAAGCGGAAUUCCCGGUGUAGUGGUGAAAUGCGUAGAUAUCGGGAGGAACACCAGUGGCGAAGGCGACUACCUGGCCCAUUCUUGACGCUGAGGCGCGAAAGCUAGGGGAGCGAACGGG